ensembl:lncRNA
GCAGGAGAUUUUUUAAUGCUCUCUAGGUGAUUCUGAUGUCAGCAAAGAUGGAGAACCACUGAUGUAGUCAAUGAGAAGUAAUAGGGGUUAUUUUUCAGAACAGCGUUUUGAGUUAAUUUGAAAGGAGGGAAAAUCUCAGGGCGAAGGUUAUUGUGGUGAGGUUAUAAGGUGAGGUCAAAGGUUAGCAAGGAGGUCUGGGUGGGCAUGGGGUCAGUUACACAGUAUGCUCUUAAAUGAUAGCGGGUAAAGUGAGCUGAACUUAAUCUGAAAAAAAAAAAAAAAGGAGUUCUGGCAUCCUAAGGUGGUGUUCAGCAAAGGGCAGUGUCAGGACAGUACCUCAGCUGAAGACCUUCAGGUCCAUGGAAGACAGUGCAUGGAUUAUUCUGAAGAAUGACUUUCCGACAAUCUGCCCCCAGCUGUGUGUUGCAAUGCGCGUGGCGGAGCUGCGCUUCCAAAGAGGCUGGCUCAGUGGGGCUGCGGUGAUGUCUCCUUCCAGGUCCCAGCAUGGAUGACCCUGUUCUUCUUGGAGAUUCUGCUGCUCUUUCCUGGAUCAUCUUGGAGAGGUUCCGUCGAGACUCCCUGGGCUCACUUGGAACUCAUUACCGAAUGUCUAUGCCUCCACGCCUGUCCCCUCAGCCCGCACAGACACAGAGCCAGCAGCCCAGAACUGCCAGCUGGCUCACCACCGAAAUGAGGGUGAGCACCGGUAAGGAAAGAAAGCCAUCCAAGGCGUCACUUCCCUGCCCUCCUCAGAGAGGACAGCCGGGCCAUUCUCGUGAUUAAACCGACUAACCACCCCCGCCGGCUCUGUGAUGGCUUCUCCUGACCAUGGUGGUUGCUGAUUAAAGAGAAGCUGGAUUUUCUUAGAAGAAACUUAAAACUAUAUAGAGAAAGAGAGAUGGGGUGAGGGCCUCAACUGCAAUGUUCUUGGUGGGAACCACAGUUUCCUCAACCCAUCUCCACUCUCAUGACACCCAGAGCCCCAGACGCCCAGGAGACAGCCCAGAGGACACAUGCUAUUGCCCAAAGAAUCUGUCUUAUUCCAGAAAGCCAAGACUGUAUUUCCUCACCUCUGUUCAGCCUGGCAUGUUCAAUGAGAUGUAAGACUACCCUGCUGCAAGACACACAGUCUGCUGACAUUUUCCUGAUUCCUCCUGCCUAAAACUUGGAGGUGAUGGCUAGAGUUUCAACAGCCAUUUUGGACCAGGAGGUGUCCUUGAGGAUAGACAUCACGUGCUGAGGAUGACAAAGCAGGAAGGUAGACAUCCCUACCAAUCGUGGAAUCAACAUGCUUGCUUUGGGUUGCGUAGAACCAGAGACAAAUUAGCCUUUACUGUAUUUAUUGUAUUUUUAUUGUAAAGCACUGUUAUUUAGGUUUUCCAUUCUAUGAAAUGAAACUAAUCCUAACAGAUGCACCAAGACAUAUUUCAAAUCGUGCUUCCCGGUGUUAAUUUCUAACUGCCUGCCGCAUCAAUGAAUAAUUUCCUGCAUUAAGCGCUGUUUCCCUUCCACACCCCGUUCCCCAGGGAAUCAUGUUCCCUCCCUGUCUGACUCAAGUCCUAAGUCCCAGUGACCUUUUCCAGACCCACCCAGCCUCUCCCUGUCCAAAUCUAGCAAUCAAUACCGUAGCCACACAUCUGGCCCUGUAUUCUUUCAGCACCAUUCAAAAUAGUAUUAGGAAUGUUUUUUACCAAUGACUGUUUCAGGAGAAGCAUGGUUUAUUGUAAAAAGCGUUGACCCUGUAGAAGAAUAAGGGAGUGGCUGUGCCCUUUGCAAGCUGCAAGGUUGUAAGAGGAGCACCAGGAGGUGAUCUCUUGCUUGACGUGAGCCUGAGACCCCCUGACUCGGCCGGUAAUGACUUUUCCAUUUUAUAGGAAGCAGAUGGGAUUUUAAUGGACUGUGACUAUUGUCUAUUUUCUUUAAGC